rnacentral:rRNA from 1 species
UCUGGUUGAUCCUGGCGGAGGUUACUGCUAUCGAGGUUCGACUAAGCCAUGCGAGUCGAAUGUAGCAAUACAUGGCGAACUGCUCAGUAACACGUGGACAACCUGCCCUUAGGUUGGGUAUAAACCCGGGAAACUGGGUAUAAUACCCGAUAGGUCUCGAUUGCUGGAAUGCAUCGAGAUUUAAAGCUCCGGCGCCUAAGGAUGGGUCUGCGGCCUAUCAGGUAGUAGUGGGUGUAGCGUACCUACUAGCCUACGACGGGUACGGGUUGUGAGAGCAAGAGCCCGGAGAUGGAUUCUGAGACACGAAUCCAGGCCCUACGGGGUGCAGCAGGCGCGAAAACUUUACAAUGCGGGAAACCGUGAUAAGGGAACUCCGAGUGUCCGUAAAUUCGGACUGUCCGUAUGUUUAAUAAGGAUACGAAGAUAGGGCCGGGCAAGACCGGUGCCAGCCGCCGCGGUAAUACCGGCGGCUCGAGUGGUGGCCACUAUUACUGGGCUUAAAGCGUUCGUAGCUUGGUUGUUAAGUCUCUUGGGAAAUCUAUCGGCUUAACCGAUAGGCGUCCAGGGGAUACUGGCAAUCUAGGGACCGGGGGAGGUGAGGGGUACUUCAGGGGUAGGAGUGAAAUCCUGUAAUCCUUGGGGGACCACCUGUGGCGAAGGCGCCUCACCAGAACGGCUCCGACAGUGAGGGACGAAAGCUGGGGGAGCAAACCGGAUUAGAUACCCGGGUAGUCCCAGCCGUAAACGAUGCACGUUAGGUGUAUCGAUGACCACGAGUCAUCGAGGUGCCGAAGGGAAACCGUGAAACGUGCCGCCUGGAAGUACGGUCGCAAGGCUGAAACUUAAAGGAAUUGGCGGGGGAGCACCACACAGGUGGAGCCUGCGGUUUAAUCGGACUCAACGCCGGAAUCUCACCGGAUAGACAGCUGAAUGAUAGUCGGGCUGAAGACUCU